GUGGAAGAUGAUUAUGAAACAUAUUUUCUUUCGUUUGUAAUUAAUAUUAACUUAAUAACCUAAUUACCAUUUUAACCUUUAUAAUAAACAUAUAAAAUCACUUAAUAUAAGGCUAUCUAUGUCAAAUUCUACUAUCAAUGGUUUAAUAACAUCAUAAAGACCUUCCAUUUAAUAAACAAUAGCAAUUAAGCACUUUAAACAAGUAGAAUG
rnacentral:lncRNA from 1 species